UUUUUCUUGAGACAGAGUCUCACUGUUGCCCAGGCUGAAAUACAGUGGGGCAAUCUUGGCUCACUGCAACCUCUGCCUCCUGGGUUCAAAUGAUUCUCCUGCGUCCAAAUGAUUCUCCUGCGUCAGCCUCCUGAGUAGCUGAGAUUACAGGCACCCACCACCAUGCCUGGCUAAUUUUUGUAUUUUUAGUAGAGACGAGGUUUCGCCAUGUUGGUCAGGCUGGUCUCGAACUCCUGACCUCAGGUGAUCCGCCUGCCUUGGCCUCUCAAAGUGCUGUGAUUACAGGUGUGAGACACUGUGCCUGGCCAGAAUAAUGUCCUUUUAAACAUAAGUCAUUUAUGUCAUUUCUCUGCCUGAAACCUUCCAAUGGCUACUAACACAAAUAGAAUAAAUUAUUCUACACUUUAAGACCUUCACACACUGUCCCUGCCCCAACUCUGACCUCACCUUUUGCCACUCUAUACCUUAACAACUACUUUUUGGUGAGACUGGUUUUCUUUCUAUUUCUGGAACUCAUAAAGUUCUUUCCUGCCUGAGGGUCUUUGCACUAGCUAUACCCUCUCCCUGGAAUGUUCUUUCCCCAGACCUUCCCAUCGUUGGCUUUUUUUUUUUUAAUUUCUAGGUUAUCAGUUUAAAUGCUGUCUUCUCAAAGAGGCCUCUCUUGAUCACCCAGUCUAAAAUAGCACCCCCACAAAGACCAGCUACCUGAUUUGCACAACCCGGUACAAAAUGAAGAUGUGAGGGAUCUUGUAAGAAAAGGAAGAUAAAAAUGAUAUGAAAGAUUAAUAAGGAAGAACUGAAAAGAAAGGAAACUACUCUGUCCCGUCUUUACCUUUCCUUUUACUGACAUGGUUUGGCUCUGUGUGCCCACCCAAAUCUCACCUUGUUUGUGAUAAUCCCCAUGCAUCAAAGGACAGGACCAGGUGGAGAUAGUUGAAUUGCAGGGGCAGUUUCCACCAUGCUGUUCUGAUAGUGAGUGAGUUCUCAUGAGAUCUGAUGGUUCUGUAAGGGGCUUAUCCCUUCACUUGGCACUCAUUCUCUCUCUUGCUACCCUGUGAUGAGGUGCCUUCCACCAUGAUUUUAAGUUUCCUGAGGCCUCACCAACCAUGCAAACCUGUGAGUCAAACCUCUUUCCUUUGUAAACUACCCAGUCUUUGGUAUUUCUUGAUAGCAGCAUAAUAAGGGACUAAUACAUUACAUCAUCACUUUUGGAGUUAAUGGCUGGCUGCUACAAGAAUUAAUGAAAGAAGAAAAGAAUAAGACUGGGUUCUUUGGUCAUCUUUCAGAAUGUCAUUGCCUUCUUUUUGCAUUGGAAGUGUUAAAGUAAACUAUGGCCUGAGAAGGACUCUGUACUUCUAUAUUUGAGUCCUUGUGGAUGAACUGUAACCUAGCUUAAUAGACAAAAUUGAAAACCUAACUUGGUAGCAUGUACCUGUAAUAAUAGCUGAGUGUUGGCCAAUCCCAGCAGCCAUACUUCAACCACUCAUAGACUGCAGAAUGUGCAAACUGCAUUCAAAUAAGGCAAACACCGAGUAGUAACCCAUUUCACUGUUUCUGUACCUCACUUCCGAUCCCUGUACAUCACUUUACCUUUUUUGUCUAUAAAUUUGUUCUGAACACGAGGCACCCCUGGAGUCUCUAUUAAUCUGCUGUGAUUCUGGGGGCUGCUCGAUUCGCAAAUUGUUCAAUGCCCAAUUAAACUCCUUUAAAUUUAAUUCGGCUGAAGUUUUUCUUUCAUCAGAAGCAAGUUCUGGUUUGAGAGAAGCAUGGCUUCUAAACAUAUCAGCAUUCCUGCUUCCUCCGUGGAAGACAUAGAACAUUUAUCUCACACUGGCUUUGAAUCUCACUGAAUUCUCCAGGGUGGUG
rnacentral:lncRNA from 1 species